UACUGGUGAUGAGGACAUUGAGCAAGCAACGACUUAAAUCGUUCCCAAGUUUCAUGAAUUGGCUCUCUCUCCAUUUGAGCAAAGCAGCAAAUCUUGUUUCUUAAAUC